rnacentral:rRNA from 1 species
UACGUAGGUGGCAAGCGUUGUCCGGAUUUAUUGGGUUUAAAGGGUGCGUAGGCGGCCCUGUAAGUCAGUGCUGAAAUACCCCGGCUUAACCGGGGGGGUGGCAUUGAUACUGCAGGGCUUGAGUACAGAUGAGGUAGGCGGAAUUGACGGUGUAGCGGUGAAAUGCAUAGAUAUCAGCAGGAAUACCCGUGGCGAAGGCGGCCCCCUGGGCCGAACCUGACGCUGAGGCGCGAAGGCUAGGGGAGCGAACGGG